UAAGAGCGAAUGGUGGAUGCCUUGACUGGUAAAGGCGAUGAAGGACGUACUAGACUGCGAUAAGCUACGGGGAGCUGUCAAGAAGCUUUGAUCCGUAGAUUUCCGAAUGGGGCAACCCAAUGUAUAGAGAUAUACAUUACCUAUAUAGGAGCGAACGAGGGGAAUUGAAACAUCUUAGUACCCUCAGGAAAAGAAAUCAAUAGAGAUUGCGUCAGUAGCGGCGAGCGAAAGCGCAAGAGGGCAAACCCAGUGCUUGCACUGGGGGUUGUAGGACUGCAAUGUGCAAGAGGUAAGUUUAGCAGAACAUUCUGGAAAGUAUAACCAUAGAGGGUGAUAGUCCCGUAUGCGAAAAACAAACCUUAGCUAGCAGUAUCCUGAGUAGGGCGGGACACGAGGAAUCCUGUCUGAAUCUGGGUCGACCACGAUCCAACCCUAAAUACUAAUACCAGAUCGAUAGUGCACAAGUACCGUGAGGGAAAGGUGAAAAGAACUGAGGUGAUCAGAGUGAAAUAGAACCUGAAACCAUUUGCUUACAAUCAUUCAGAGCCCUAUGUAGCAAUACAGGGUGAUGGACUGCCUUUUGCAUAAUGAGCCUGCGAGUUGUGGUGUCUGGCAAGGUUAAGCAAACGCGAAGCCGUAGCGAAAGCGAGUCUGAAUAGGGCGCUUAGUCAGAUGCUGCAGACCCGAAACGAAGUGAUCUAUCCAUGAGCAAGUUGAAGCUAGUGUAAGAACUAGUGGAGGACUGAACCCAUAGGCGUUGAAAAGCCCCGGGAUGACUUGUGGAUAGGGGUGAAAGGCCAAUCAAACUUCGUGAUAGCUGGUUCUCUCCGAAAUAUAUUUAGGUAUAGCGUUGUGUCGUAAUAUAAGGGGGUAGAGCACUGAAUGGGCUAGGGCAUACACCAAUGUACCAAACCCUAUCAAACUCCGAAUACCUUAUAUGUAAUCACAGCAGUCAGGCGGCGAGUGAUAAAAUCCGUCGUCAAGAGGGAAACAACCCAGACUACCAGCUAAGGUCCCUAAAUCUUACUUAAGUGGAAAACGAUGUGAAGUUACUUAAACAACCAGGAGGUUGGCUUAGAAGCAGCCAUCCUUUAAAGAAAGCGUAAUAGCUCACUGGUCUAGUGAUUUUGCGCGGAAAAUAUAACGGGGCUAAAGUAAGUACCGAAGCUGUAGACUUGCACACAA
rnacentral:rRNA from 1 species